rnacentral:lncRNA from 1 species
GGGAUAUCAAAUGGUUAAAAAAGUUUGGAUAAGCUAGCUAGUCGUCAAUUUUAGGUUAAGUUGUAUAAUGUUUAUAUACAAACAUAAAAUAUCAAAUUUUCAGAUAUUAUUAAUUGAGGGCACUUGCUCUGAUUGAUUUUUUCUUUUUUUUUAAGAAUAGGAAGUUUAAAUUUUCUACUAUAUAGAUUCUUGUAAAAAAGUUACUAUUUUAUUUUAUUUUAAAAAGGGAUAAAUAAAAAAAGAGAAAAGGUCACAUGGGUGAUUAAAAAUAGAGAGACCAUUCACCAAUGACCAAUCUUGAGACGUGAAAAUGUUAGGUAAU